AAAAGAGCGGGGCAGCGCGGGGCUGCCCGUGCUGAGGCGCGGGCAUGGCGCCUCCAUCCCCCGCUCUCCUCAGGGACGGCACCGCCCCGAGCGGCCGGCGAGGCGGCGAAGGAGCCGGGGCCGGGGGGGGGAGAUCGGGCAGCGGGCCCGGCUACCGCGGCAACAGGCGGCCACCGCCGGCCCGGGGCCGCCUCCCCUCAUUGGGGUGGGCGGUGAAAGGGCGACCCCCGCAGCGCUCCUCGCUCCUACCCAGCCACCCGCACCCCCCUCACUCACCCCCGGGCGCGUUUCUCCCCGGGAAAUGGCCUCCACAGCUCGGCCAGAAAUUUUGAAAGCAAAAUUUGCACUGGUUGUGGUGUUUGAGAUAUUGUCACAGACUGCAUGUGAUCACUGGAGGUGUUAGGACUAAAUCGUGACUUUCAUACAGCAGGAGCUGCAGGUUAUGGUUACCUGCUGUGAGAUAUGAAGCACAGCCUCAGAAGUUCAUCAGCAAUGCACGAUAUUUGAGGGAGAUGCCAUCCAGGACAGAUUCAGAGUCUCAGGUAGGCCAGAAAGCAACACAGAAAAGCAAGAGAUGACUGCAG